CCUGGGGAAAAUAUGGAAAAUAACUACUUAAGGAUGCUGAGAUUAAGCAAAAGUAGGUGGAUUGUGAAAAGCAUCAAAAUUCAGAAAAGCCACUGCAUAGAGAUGAUCUUCCCAGAUUGUAGGAAGUAAAUAGUUGGCUGAGUUUUCUCCUGAGCAUGAGAAUGCUACGUCCAAGGCAGAACCUCAUUGUGAAGUGGAACUAUGGUAACCAUGGAAUGGCCAACUAAGCAGAGGUUGAGGGAAACAAAAACAACUUUCUAGCCAAGAAGAGAACUCCUUGGGAGCUCAAGAGUGAAAGAAGAGAGUCACAGAGCAAAGAGAAAGAACUUCCCCCAGUUCUCUGUAUGAACCAGUCCCAAUCUUACGUUGAGGAAUGAGACACACAAAUCAACAAAGCAAAAGCUUUGAGAACCAAACUGGGAUUUGAACGACCACCCAGAGGAAAUCAAGACCAUUUGUCCAAAUCAAACCAAGUUGCUAAAACACCCAGAAAGAGGAAACAUGCCCACAAAAGACCUGGGAAAUCCUGGACUAAUCUUAAGGGCUCAUGGUCCCAUUAACUAGCAGAGGUCUUGCAGUCUACAAAGACUGGGAGAGGGGCUAUUUUUUCAAAUGCCCAGUUUUUAAUAAAAUGUCAUAAGGAAUAUAA
rnacentral:lncRNA from 1 species